rnacentral:rRNA from 1 species
GAUGAACGCUGGCGGCGUGCCUAAUACAUGCAAGUCGAGCGAACAGACGAGGAGCUUGCUCCUCUGACGUUAGCGGCGGACGGGUGAGUAACACGUGGAUAACCCACCUAUAAGACUGGGAUAACUUCGGGAAACCGGAGCUAAUACCGGAUAAUAUAUUGAACCGCAUGGUUCAAUAGUGAAAGACGGAUUUGCUGUCACUUAUAGAUGGAUCCGCGCCGCAUUAGCUAGUUGGUAAGGUAACGGCUUACCAAGGCAACGAUGCGUAGCCGACCUGAGAGGGUGAUCGGCCACACUGGAACUGAGACACGGUCCAGACUCCUACGGGAGGCAGCAGUAGGGAAUCUUCCGCAAUGGGCGAAAGCCUGACGGAGCAACGCCGCGUGAGUGAUGAAGGUCUUCGGAUCGUAAAACUCUGUUAUUAGGGAAGAACAAAUGUGUAAGUAACUAUGCACGUCUUGACGGUACCUAAUCAGAAAGCCACGGCUAACUACGUG